AUUACCGCGGCUGCUGGGGGAUGAAGGCCUUCGGGUCGUAAACCCUUGUCAGGGGAUAACUCCGGGAAACUGGAGCUAAUACCGGAUAAGACCACGGUUUCUAUGGAUGCUGAGGUAAAAGGCGGCUGGGUAACUAGCUGUCGCGUAUAGAUGGGUCCACGUCCCACCAGGUAGUUGGCGAGGUAACGGCUCACCAAGCCUAAGACGGGUAGCUGGCCUUAGCGGGUGGUCAGCCACACGGGGACUGAGACACGGCCCCGACUCCUACGGGAGGCAGCAGUGGGGAAUAUUGGGCAAUGGGCGAAAGCCUGACCCAGCGACGCCGCGUGGGGGAUGAAGGCCUUCGGGUCGUAAACCCUUGUCAGGGGGGACGAUGGGUAUGUGAGCUAAUACCUCAUAUACUUGACGGUACCUCCAAAGGAAGCCCCGGCUAACUCCGUGCCAGCAGCCGCGGUAAU
rnacentral:rRNA from 2 species